rnacentral:lncRNA from 1 species
UGAGCUAUGAUUGCACCACUGCACUCCAGUCUGGGCGACAGAACCAGACCAUGUCUAAAAAGAAAAAACACUCAGUGAUAAUUUCACAUUACAGUUUGAGAGGUUCCUGUUGACUUGGGGAAACUAGUUUUAGCAGACUUCAUUAAAGGAGUGUACACCUUACUACAGGAUGUAAUUUAAAAUAGAAUGUUUAAAUAAUAAAUUCACUUCUGGGUAUAUACUCAAAGCAGGAAUUCAAACAGGUAUUUGUACACCAAAGUUCGUAACAGCAUUAUUCACAGUAGCCAAAAUGUGGAAACAACCCAAAUGUCCAUUAAAGGAUGAAUAAACAAAAUGUGAUAUACAUACAAUGGAAUAUUCAGCCUUUAUUUUUCCAAUCAGAGUUUCAGGAAAAUCAACCUUUAAAAGGAGUGAAAUUCUGACAUUUGCUGCCACAUGGAUGAAUCUUGAUGAUGAUAUGCUGAGUGAUAUAUAAUCAGUCACGGAAGGACAAAUACUGCAUGAUUCAAUUUAUAUCAGAAGACUAAGGGGCCCCACGGAGAGGCCCACAUGGAGAAAACUCAAUCCCCCCUCACCCGCUAUCCCAGGCUGUCAGCCAGCACCACCUUGUCUUGCCAGCCAUGUGAGUGAGCCAUGUUGGAAGUGAAUCCUCCAGGCCCGUGCUUUGCUAAUGACUGACCGGUGUGGAUGUAUAAAAGUCCAGCUCCGUGAUCUCAGACUUCCGGCCUCCAGAACUCAGGCCCUGACAUUGUAUAAGCUUCAGGCCCCACAAAACCUGGAUCUGCCCUGCCAGGAUCAGCAUCUAGAGGAAAACUACUACUUCCACAAUAGCACAACCAAUCUGAUCAUCCCUGCAUCAGUGAGCAUUCUCCAGAGAAACAGAGCCAACAGGAUAUGUGUAUAUAUGUGAAGAAAGACUUAUUUUAAGGAGUUGGCUCAUGCAAUUAUGGAGGUGCAAGUCCAAAAUCUGUAGGGCAGGCAGAUGGGCAGACUGGAGACCCAGAGAAGAGUUGCAGUUCAAGUCCAAAGUCGGUUGGAAGAAUUCCCUCUUGCUGGGUAACACUGGGGAAGCAGGAGUAGAUGGAAAGGGGAGGUGUCAGGCUUUGCUCUACCAAGGACUUCAACUGAUUGGAUGAGGCCCAGUAACAUUAUGGAGGGAAACCUGCUUUGCUCAGAGUUUACUGAUUUAAAUAUUAAUCUCAUCCACAAAAAAAUAAAUAACCUUCACAGAAACAUUUAGAAUAUUUGACCAAAUAUCUAAGUCCCAUGGCUCAGACAACUUAACACAUAAAAUUAUCCAUCACAAUUCCAUUAUCCCAAUACAGGUCGGCAGGGCCUUGGGCAGGUGGUAACCUCAGCUCUGGAGUCUACAGCAAUACUCUCACACUUAACAGAUGUAGUUCUGUGGGUCCAGGUCCCACUUCGCAAGAGAGAAUCUGAUGGGCUAAUUUCGACCAAGUCUCCUUUCCUAGUUCAAUCACGUGUAAGGGUUAGAGAAAGGGUUGGGCUCACAAGGGACUUAGGGCUGCCUCUCUGGACUUGGGAGAGCAGGACUUCUCAAGAGAUAAAUGGUUAGAGAGUAAUAUAAUUUGGAUAUUUGUCCCCUAUAAAUCUCAUGUUGAAAUUUGAUGUUCAAUGUUGAGGGCAGGUCUGGGACCUCCCUCCCUGCUUUUGCUCCCCCUCUCGCCAUAUGGCACAACUGCUCCCUUCACCUUCUGCUAUGAAUGGAAGCUUCCUGAGGCCUUCACCAAAAGCGGAGGCUGGUACCAUGCUUCACGCACAGCCUGCAGAAUCAUGAGCCAAAUAAACUACUUUUCUUUAUAAAUCAUCCAGUUUCAGGUAUUCGCUUAUAGCAACACAAAAUGGACUAAUACAGAGAGGAAAUAUUUUGAGCACAUUGAAGGCCCCAAAAUAUUGAGCUUUUUUUUUUUAACCUAUAUAGUACUUUUCUUGCAUCUCAGUUUGCUUAUCUAUAGAAUGAGGAUUAAUAAGACCUACCAACUUCAGGGGGUCAUUCUGGUGAGAUAAGUGAAAAAAUUUGUAAAGAAGUGUAUAAAUUUACCAUUGUUUUUUAAAACUAAAAUGAUCUCUAACACUAAGUUGAUGAUCUGAUCACAAAGAUGGGGUAGAUGAAAUGAAGAGAAAAGGUUUCUGACAUUUGUAUACUUAGAAAUGUAUCCAGGCUGGGCAUGGUGGUCCAUACCUGUAAUCCCAGCACUUUGAGAGGCCAACGCAGGAGGGUCACUU